rnacentral:tRNA from 1 species
GUCGAUCUAGCUCAACAGGUAGAGCACUGGUCUCCAAAACCAGAGGUAGCAGGUUCGAGUCCUGCGGUCGGCGCGA